AUUGAACGCUAGCGGGAUGCUUUACACAUGCAAGUCGAACGGCAGCGCGGACUUCGGUCUGGCGGCGAGUGGCGAACGGGUGAGUAAUGUAUCGGAACGUGCCCAGUAGCGGGGGAUAACUACGCGAAAGCGUAGCUAAUACCGCAUACGCCCUACGGGGGAAAGCAGGGGAUCGUAAGACCUUGCACUAUUGGAGCGGCCGAUAUCGGAUUAGCUAGUUGGUGAGGUAACGGCGCACCAAGGCGACGAUCCGUAGCUGGUUUGAGAGGACGACCAGCCACACUGGAACUGAGACACGGCCCAGACUCCUACGGGAGGCAGCAGUGGGGAAUUUUGGACAAUGGGGGCAACCCUGACCCAGCCAUCCCGCGUGUGCGAUGAAGGCCUUCGGGUUGUAAAGCACUUUUGGCAGGAAAGAAACGUCGCGGGCUAAUACCCCGUGGAACUGACGGUACCUGCAGAAUAAGCACCGGCUAACUACGUG
rnacentral:rRNA from 1 species